ensembl:ncRNA T25D10.6 ncRNA
CAAUACUCACUAAGUCUCCCGCAUAUUUACCCGGUCACUGAAGAGCGGAUCUAUAGACUAUGGGGACCGCCGAAACUUCUUUUUCGAGUGUUUUGGUGUCAUUGGCUGUUUACUCAAAAAUGUUAGACAAUUAACCUUGAGAGUGAACUGAGGUGAACUUCUUUUCCCAAGCAUCCAACGGGUCAUUGGCUUCGAGAUGGGACCAAGAUGGUUAUAAC